GUACUAAAACAGGGAACUUUUUCCUUUUUUCCAUGACUUCUCUGUCAACAUGUGAUCUUGUUUAUUUCCUCUUUAAUGCUAUGCUCCCUAAGACACAGGAAUGCUUGGAGACUAAGAGCAGACCUUCAGAAACACCUGGGCUUGCCUGUCCACCUUGGGUUGUGAUGGUGGGCCUGGAAGAAGGGGACAUGUCUGGCUCAACUUCCCUUCCUCCAUCUGGGCACAGCACGUCAGUCUGGCAGCCAGGGGGAGGGGGCAUCUGGCAGCCAGUGCGCUGCAUGCAGGCACUAAGUCUCGGAGUGGAGAUUACAAGAUCCUGUACUCCUGAACGUCUUCCCUGGAAAACUUCUUCCUGGGAUGUGGGCCCCCAGGCAACACCAUCGAGUUGAAGGGUUCUAUAACCGAAGGGACUUCUGGACCAGUGAGCUCAGCUCUUUGCCUAAGAGGGAGAAAAGGGAGCUCCACAGUCAUAGCUGGUCCACCAUGGUGCUGGUGCGCUGUCUUGGCCUCCUUCUCACAUGCCAGUGCUCUUCCUAUCCUGACCUCCAUAGAGGGACCUUUUCUCCUUGGAACUACCUGAGGUUCAGGUAGGUCCCCCCAGCUGAGCAGAAUACUAAAUAAGGCCGCAAAGAUGAGGAUGAAAGCCUGCAGGUUCAGGAUGGUGGGAAAGAUGGCAUUGGAACAAACGGUAACAUCUAGCAAGCAGUUUGCAUCGACUCUGCACGACAACCAAAAUAUGCUGUGUUGUCCAAAUGAAAAUUCUCCAAAAUAAUGACAUCAAGAUCAAACCAAGAUAAAGAGCUGGCAUCAUUAUACUUGACAGGCAUAUACAGUACUUAUGCUGAAAUUGAAAUGAUCAAAACUAACCUCAUGGAAAAAUGUAAGCACCCAAAGGUUGUAAGAAAAGUCAUACAAAUCAAAUUUAUAAAGCAAAUAAAUCAAAUUUAUAAAGCAA
rnacentral:lncRNA from 1 species